CCUUCUGCUCUCGGGGCGGCCCUCAUCCCCCCGCCCCGACUUGCACUGCUGUUUUGUUCAGACCUCGGUUGCAAAGCACUCUCCUCUGAGGACCAGCCCGUGCAGCCAGGUGUGCGCCCCGCUCCCGGAUAUUGUUUCCAAUGCCGGGACCCCCAGCCGCAUGUGAGGGCAGCACGGCUUUCCAGCUGCAGGGCGCUUCUGUUUUCUCUGUUCCGCGAGCAUUUAUAGAAACAUUCGGACCGCGUGCCGGCUUGAUCACUGGUGGUAGACAUUUUUAAAAAAUGGUCAACACUUGGCUCCUUAAGAUGAAGCUGAUGAGAGAGGGAUGAAUUACCGGUUUGUUCGGACGCUGACUGUUGGGUACUACACGCAGUUGGUGGUCUAGGACCCCGAGCUAUAGGUGAGCAGAGCGGAAAGGGAGGUGCGGUGCUAGCCAGACGGCGCGCUCCCGAAGGCGAGAAGUAGGGGGAGGCUGGGGCGAGGUCCUGAUGAGCAGUCUGGAUCCCAUCAGGGGAGGGGGGCGCCGUCUGCGGGGGAGACGUGAUCCCAGGCCACGCCAGACCAUUCCCUGGUCAGCGAGCAGCACCUACGCUUGGGGGUGCUGCCGACCCCAGCUUGAGAGCCUGCCCGGCACUUUCUGACCCCUCCCCAGUCUGCGGUGGGCACGCCCCCCACCCACGUUCACGUCUGCGUGCUCCGUGCGGCACUCGGUGCCGGUGGGGGCACGGGGCGGGGGCGUGGGCACGGGCACGGGCACGGGCACAGACCCGAGCACCCGACGGAGACUGGAAGCUCGAAGCGCUGAGGCCGGAGGAGUGCGCAGGCGCUGGCUGUGAGCCGCGCAGGCUCCGCCCCUUCCUCUGGGACCGCCGAUUGGCCCGCGCCGCGCCUGCGCAAUGGGCCGUGCGGCCGGCAGGUGAGGUCUGGACCUGAGGUGUGCCCGCCGGCUCUGUCGGCUCAGCUCUUGUCCCCGCCCGUGGUCCGCGCUGCGGUGAGCGACGGCCGCGUGUCCACGGCGGGGCGGGGGCCGGGGCGAGGGGGCGGCGCGUGGCCCUCCCCUCUGCGCCGGCCCGCCCCGGGGGCGCCCCCUCCCGUGAUGGUGACCCGCGACCCCUGGCUCCGGGGAUGCCCCCGCCCGGGGUGGUGACCCCGCUCCUCCCGCCCGGCGGCCCUGCCUCUCCUCCCCCCUGGGCGUGUCCGUGGCAUCAAGGAGGGCGGCACAGCACCUGGCACUGGGCGCGCAGACCGUGCAUUUCGUGCAUUUCACACCCGCCACGCUGGGACGCGAAGGGGCCGUACAGCGCGCUUGAAGGCUGGCGUCCACUGCGCUGUCCGCAGAUGUUCGCGCUGCCCCGUAGCGAGCGCUCGUUCCCCGGACAGCGGGCGCGGCGGCUGGGCCGCAGGUGGGCGCGCAGGUGGGCCUGGGGCCGGGGUCGAGGCCGCGCACCUGCUGUCCGGCACCGCGCACACAUUCCCGUGCUCUUCCGCCGGGCUCAUGGACGCGCCGUCUGUUGUGAGAGUCGCUAGAGAGGUUCCCGUGGCAUCACGACCCAGUGUGGCCAGCGCAAGGAGAGCUAGUGGGAUGCACGCUACUUCCCCGGCCGUGGGCGCAGCAUGGCAGUGACCCCGCGCAGUAACUAAAGGUUACACUGAAAUGACCAUUAUCUCCGAGUCAUCGUGAUUUUCAGGGGUGGCCCAGAUGAGGUGCCACGCCUCUGACGGAGAAACGGCAUGUGCGGGGGUGCUGGCCGGUGCCCUAAAGGCUCUGGUGGCACCCGCUGUGUGCGGAGAGUGGGGAAGGAGUGCGCACCGCUCGGCCAGGGCCUGGGGGCGAGGCCGCCAGGCGUGGAAGGCUGGCCCGGCCAUGGUUCCCUGUGUGCCGCACACAGUCACUUCUGGCUUUUGUUGUUACUACUUUUAAUUUCAAGACACUCUGGAAAACUUUGAUUUGCUAAAAGCACAAGCAGGGGAAGUGGCAGUGGGAGAAGCAGACUCCCCGCUGAGCAGGGAGCCCAACAUGGGCCUUGAUCCCAGGAUCCAGGAUCAUGACCUACGCUGAAGGCAGAUGCUUCACCGACUGAGCCCACCAGGCGCCCCAGAAAUUUUACUUUUACGUCCCAGUUGGGGUUACAGUGACUGGGGUGUUGUAGGAGCGUGUGGAGGCCUCCCCGCUUUGUGGACGGCGGCCAGGACCUCACACAGAGUGCAGGCUGCUGGCACCUGCGUGCAGACGUGGGGUUGGGCUGCCCCAGCCCCUCUCGCUGGCUGUCCCUCCAGUCCCGCGUCACGGCUGUUUCGGGCGGGGCCGCGCAGGACGGCGUCUGAAGCGAAGAGUUCCGAACCCGCGCCGGUCGGCGUCAGAGCCUCCGUGUAGGACGGAGUGCUCACCGGUGAUGAAAUGUGCGGACAGUGAGAUUUACCGCCUUACCUACCUGAUGACUUCCAGAGGUUAGUUUUUUCCAGGGCACCGAUGCGUACCAGGGCUUCGGGGUUUUAUUUAGGGUGAUGGUGCUUGUUUAUGAUUUCGUGUUCUCGUAUUUCCGCUUGUGAGCUUCGGAGGUGAAGUGCCGGUUUACCUGGAGCUCAUUUCGUUUCAAGUGUACGUUCCGGUCGGAUGCCCCGGACGAGAAGCAGUGAGUCCCUCUGGAAAGACUGAUCUUGGCUCAACUGCGAGAAACAGAUUAUCUUCCAGACACAGGUUCCACCAGAUACGUUGCUAUAGCAACACAGCUUCUGCCAGAUGUUUCUGCUGCCUUUUCAUCCCAACAGCAACUGUUUUGGUGGUUCUCAGACAUGGCCUUGUCCCCGACAACCAGCUUGGCUGCGGUAAUACAGGAAGCUUCUCACCCUGCAGGAACGCCCCCCUGUCAUGUUCAACCCAGGACUUGCAUGAGGACCGUCACCCCAAGCACCUGCCCCCCUGACUGCAUGGGCGUGUGGUGUCGCUGCAACCUGGUUUUUCCUGUUUCCUUACAUCGGACUCAGGCUAGACGGUUGUGGCGAGAAUACUGUAUCGGUGACCUUAUGCGAAUGUUACACUGAAAUCUGGUCCAGCGGGUGGGGAGGGAGAGGCAGGUGCAGCUGACGGUGUGUGCCGGGGAGCGGUGGCUGUGGCUCGAGGCCAGUCCGGUGCUUGCGUCAUCUUCACUGUGGGCUGGGGUGCCUGGCGGAGAUGCCCUGUUGCAGUCUGCGUCUCCGUAGCGCCUUGCUCCCUCCCCGCCCCGCCCUGCCACGUCAGAGCCCUCCCCUGUCGGAAGGCCCGUGGCAGGAACUGGACACCAAGCAUUGAGCUUACGCAAGAGGCCGUGUGGUGGUCACCGUGGACUGUGACCUGUCCUUCCGUUCUCUGCCUGGAUUGCCACAUUUUAGAAUUCUCUUUAGACCCACACAAAACCAAAUGUCCUUUAACAUUUAACUGAGCCAAAGAAAUGCACUUACCUAAUUUUAUAAGCAAAGGUGUUAUUUUUAAGUAUAUUUCGCCAACUGUUUUGGUAUUUCUGAGACUCCGCGGGCUGCCACUUGCCUCUGGGAUGGUCCUGCCCCCGCUCUCCAUCGCGAGCCUGUGCGAGCUGCCGUCCGUGGCCGCGCUCUGACACUACGCGUUCCGCUUGAGCAAAGAGCCCGGUGUAAAAACAGAUGGUGUUUAUGGGAGAAUAACCCGCGAGGGGCAGUACGUGCGAGCGUCCUGUGUCAGCACCUGUCCUCCGAUGGCUGUGGUAGGACUGGCUGGUGUCGGGGCAGCAGGGGCAGCGUGCCAGUGGCCUGGGCGGCACGCGGAGCACGGCGGGGGGCGAGGGCACGUGCCCUACCCCAGCAGCAGGGUCAUCGGUCUCCUGCGCCCCCCGUGGCCUGUGCUGUGGUUUUGUCCUUAGUUGGGUUGCUCUUAGGACUCCUGACGUCUCGGAUUCCUCGCGGAUCGCCAAGCUGUCCGCGUGGGGAGAGGUGCUUGCCUCUGCCGCUGGGCCUGCCGCCCUGGCGGUGUUUUACGUUACACAACUGUUUUUCUAGCACUGCACUGGGUGUCGGCGUCGGAAUUUUUGAUGUUUUACUCAGACUUUCUGUUGGUAGAUCACGACCGUUCUUGCAAAGAUGCUGCUUCUAAUUCCGACUGUGCCUCAUUCAACGGGUCGGUCUUUAGCCAACGAUCCACAGACAAGCACAAAACAAAUAAGACAUUUUUUGGGUCCUUUUUGUCAAGUGCAGAGGCUGACGUGGUUUUUUGGAAUUUGUAGUCAUUGGGCUGAUAGAUCCAAGCUGUGAAGUCUCGCUCUUCGUUAUGGAAAUGGAAAAGAUGGCAGGGAGCCCCUUCUUUGAGACUCCGUGUGAUAGAAAUCGGCACGCGUUCACCGUCCGAGGCGUUGCUCUGCUAAGAGCGCGUGCGCGGGGGCUCCAGGGCCCGGGAGCGUGACCUGCGCAGACAGGGACGCGGUCCAGAGGCACAGAUGCUGACACCAGCAGGUGAGAAGCAAAUGAGCAGAAACUGGCCCGUGGGUCAUGGCCUUUUAUCCUUUUAAACGUAUUGACUGUGUCCCUGACGGCUUCUGUGGGCUCGGGAAUGGCGGCGGCAUCCGCGAUGACCAGCCUGUUUGUUCUGAAGUGGAGCUAAGUCAACACGAUGCGGGUCCCUUGGCCAGUUGGUGCGUCGCAGCGAGAGACGUGCGGACGCGUCCUCUCAUAUGGGAGGCCGCACAAGCACACAGAGCGGCGGCACGUGGGCCAGCCGGGGGUCCCGGGCACUGGGGGGCUCGGGUUGGUCCCCGCGCUCAUCGACCUGACCCGUGACUGACGACGUCGUCCCCUUUUGUACCUGCAUGCCUGCGGAGGUGACCCAUUCAGCGAACGUGGGGGUCAGAACCCGCGGGGCGUGUGCUCUCGGGAGAGGCAGCUGAUCCCGGCCGGGGCGGCUCUGGCAGACCCGAGGCCCCCUCCCGGUGACUGUCCUCUAGAGCUGUGCACCCCGGCCGCCAGCCUGCGCUCGGAGAAGGCAGGUGCGUGGCGCGUGAGCCUGGCCUUGCCGGGUGCGUUCACACGCUGUUGCGUGUGUCCUGGGUGUGUGCUGUGAGGUGGGAGUGCCCGCUAUAGGCCGGCACUGACCGUGGGCACGUGGCUCGCUGCGCCCGACUGGUGCCAGGUCUGUCAUCUGUGAAGGGGGAGCGACGAGUCCACACGCUUUUUCAGUUUGGUUUGAGGAUCAAGCGCCGUGAGACCUGUGGGGCGCGGCCGGCGCUGCGUGUACGAGAGCCGCAGGGGAGCCGGCGGGGUGUCUGAGCGCCGCGCCCGGACAGGCAGGGCGCCUCGCAGGAUUGGGGGGAAGACACGAGGGGGUGUAGAUGGCGGCCGCCCUCCGGUUGGGCUGCCUGCGCCUCUGUGGGCAUCCAGAGGAGCGGAUGGCGUCUGUGGGGCAUUUCUUGCUCACCGAGCACGUACUCGGUCAGGCCACAGGGCAACACGCAGCUGAAGGUUCUGGUGGAGUCUCCGGCUCUUCCUGGACGGACGGUGGCACCGACUCGGCCCCCGCUGGACGCCGCCAUGCCGCCCCGCGCCCUUCCCGCCAGCCCGCCGUCUACCUUGUCUCCUCCGCCCUCAGCGCCCCGUCCGUCUGCCCUGUGCAGACCGGCCGCACCUGCCCCCCAGCCAGCAACACGCCGGCGACCCUGCGGCAUCCAGCCUGUGGGCCAGGUGGGCGUCAGCAUGCGGAGCUCAGGACGCCAGCAACCGCAGGGCACGGCCCCCGACGGCUCCCGGGACAGACCUGCAGGGCAAGUAGACCCGGUAAGAUUCGGUCUCGGCGGCACGAGGACCUGCGAUGACGCCGUGGGGAAGGAUCGGAAAUGGAACCAUUUGCAUGUAUUUGUCAACAUGGCAGACUGUGAUGGAAGGGAUCGUUCUUCCUGUCUGUGCGUCUGUGUCACAGCCCGCGCAGGGUCCAAGGCAGGGAGGUAGCUCUCCGGGUCCCCCUUCUGUCCAGCCCCUCCCGGGCUUGCCCGUCGGCCUCCCUUCCCUUCUUCCUGCGGCUUUCCCUCCCUUCUUUGUGUCUGCUCGAUGCUACACCCCUGCUGGCGGUCGCGCUCUUUAUUAAGCCUGGGAAUGGGGGUGAGACGGGGGAGGACCGAGGCUUCAGGGGCCCGGGUGACCUUUCUGGUGCUUGGAUGGAAACGGUGUUGUUACUUUUACCUGAGGUGUAGUUCCCUAAUUCGAGUAAACACAAUCGUAGGGGUGAGUCUGCUUGGUUAGGGGGCGGUCGCUCCUGCGGCGAGGACCCCGUGCGCUGCAGGGCAGGUGGGAG